rnacentral:lncRNA from 1 species
GUUUGGGCCUGUUCUUUUUAUGAUCGCUGGAAUUUCCUCCUUUCGGUAUCUUCGCCCCUGUCCACGUUCUCCUCACUGUUAUUGAUUGGUGCCCCCUGUGUCCAUGUGUCUGGUUUACUUUUUCUACUGGAUUCCCCACUUAGGAACACGAGUACAGAAGUGUCAAGCAGGAAGUUGAUGUCAUCAGAAGACCCUCUGGAUGCUCCUCUGUUCUGGCCCUGCCCCUGACCUCCUCACGCGCCAUCUUGGCCUGGCCGCCUAAGCCCUGGUAUGUCCACCUCAGUGGGAGUAUGAGGUCAUAAGAGCCAGUCAGAGGGGUGGACUGUGGGCCUUCCUCCAGUUCCCUUGUUCUCAUUUUCUGUGUCCUAACCCAAAAAACAUAGAGCACCUUGACAGCUCUGUGACCUGGUUGGCUGCAUCUCUCCUGCAGGCUUGAGCCCUAUCCUGGGCCUUGGAUUUCCCAGGCACUGGUAACAGGACUUCAGGUUGUUGCCUGAAACACCAAAAAAACCAACUGACCCUGAGCCCAGUGUCUUACACCCUCCUGGAACUCCCUCCCUCCCCUACCCCAGGGGACAUGCAUAUGUAGGUAGGAUGCCCUUCUCAUGCUGACCUCAGGAGGACACUCUGUAAGUUCCCCCAACACAUACUCCCUCCAGCUGCCCUGGCCUGCAGGGCUUCCUGCUUUGGAACUGCAGCAGGCCCCAUCUUGGGGCAGUUUGGGGCAGUCCCUUGUGGGAACUCUCCCAUCUAUGCAGUAACUAUAGCUUUGGGUUCCAUAGGGCAAAACAAAUCAUAAGGGGACAAAUGUAGAUCAAAGGUUCUUAAUAUUUUUUUAGUUCACCGAUCCAUUUGGCAGUUGUCUGUUCUUACAGGCUGAAGUAUUGUUUUAAGAGGGAAUCUACAGGCUUCACCAGACAACUGCCAAAUGGAUCGGUGAACUAAAAAAAAUAUUAAGAACCUUUGAUCUACAUUUGUCCCCUUAUGAUUUGUUAGUAGAGGAUAGGAAAGGUAGUAGAAUACAACAGUUACUAAUAUGGCAUUAUGUAAAAAUGUGGAUGUGUAACCGAUGUGAUUCUGCAAUCUGUAUUUGGGGUAAAAAUGGGAG